rnacentral:sRNA from 1 species
CUAAGUUGGUAGAGCAGUUGACUUUUAAUCAAUUGGUCGCAGGUUCGAAUCCUGAACGACCCACAAAUUUCAGCAUUUAACUCAGAUGCUGAACGUGAAGGAUAACGUUGCGACAGCAACGGCCCGAAGGGCGAGGCGAAGUCGAGUCAUCCUGCACGACCCACCA